CGUCUCCAGGUUCCUCUCUCUCUCUCUCUCUAACUAUAUCCAUGCAGCCCCUUAACCAAUCACACAUACAAAUUAACUUUGAUCUCGAACUGAUUGCAGAGUUUUCACUCAUAUUCAGCUUGAAGAAGAUCUCAAGUCCAUGUUUGCGUCCUCGGCUGCUCAGUCACAAAGCGACGGCCAAUUCAUCUAUCCCUCAGAUUUUCAGGUCAAUUGCUUUACUUCCUUCCCAUUUGUUCUGGGUAUGUUUAAUUUGAUCUGUUUCUUUGAUUUCUGAGUUGAAUUGACACAGAGUGGGGGUUGAUUGGUUCGAUUAGGUUUUGGGUGUCCACUAUUUGAUUCGAAAGUUUGCUUUUUCUGAGGAAUUUGUAUUUGAUUGAUUGCAAAUAGAGGUUUUUCUCUUCUUCUUUUCUAUGUUGGAAGUGUAAAGCCUGCCUCUGUCUUUCUCCGUCUGGAAGUUGUGGUAGAAAAGAGAAGAAGAGGGAUUGAAAUCGGUAAGGUUCUAAAGUUUGAUUGAAAUCAGUAAGGUUCGAAAGUUUGAAGCUGUGGUAGAAAGGAGAAGAAGAGGGAUUGAAAUCAUUCUAAAUAUUGUUCACUGGAAUAUCUAGGAAAGAAGAAUAGGGACUGAAAUCGAUAAGAUUUCAGAAUUUGAAGCUUUGAUUUGAUAAUUUUGUCGUGCAAUUGUCACGGUCGAUUGUACUUGGAUCUCAAUAUUAUGUUAUUAUGGGUUUUCGGUUUGAUCUGUUGUUUGAUUGUCUUCCGCAGUUCUAAAUAUUGUUCAUUUGAAUAUUUGGGUGUUUUUGCUCUGUUGAAUCACCUUUCGUUCUUAUUAUGUCAUAUUUUUGGUAUGCUGGGUUUUGAGAAAUAAGAUAGCUAUAAAGAAAGUAUGCAGUUUAUUGAUCAUAUUUGGUAUGCUGCGUUUUGAUCCUCAAGGAUUAGACUUUGCAAUUAGAAGUGGAGAUUAUUGUUUUUACUAUUUUUUCUUUCUUUAUUUGUUUUUAGGUAUUAAAAAUGUAAUUUGUUGUUUUUAUGUAGUUUAGACUGGAAAGUUGUAUAUGGUGGGAUAUUAAGAUUCUGUAUCAUUGUUGCUGUAUUUAUUUGAUGUGAAAUUUGGGAUUUUGUGAUCAAAAGAUUAGUUAUUAUAUCAAUGCUUUAUGAUACUACUUGCUUUAAGUGGAGGUUUUUUUGGCCAGAUCACCUUAGUGAUUAGUCAUGAUCAAUUUUGUGGUGUACUGAUGAAACUACUGUCAUUGUUUGGUGGCAGACGAACAUAUGAAUUAGCUAGAUUUUGACCGGAACCCUCACUGUGAGUGACUAAAGAUCUUAUACUUCAGCUUCAGCUUUCUUUGUCCGUAUAAUAUUUGUCUGGGAUUUAAAGCCAAUUAACUUGAAACAGACCAUGUUGGCAGUAGAUUGCACGUUGGAUUCCACACAAAUUUGAUAUCCGGAACCAGUUUCUAUAUAAACGGUGCUUUAAGAUGAACACCUACUGUCUCUAAUUCAUCUUCUGUCUAAUAUACAAUAUUCAUAAGCUCUAUACAUGUAUGAAUGCAUCUUCAGUUUAAUUAAAAAGUCCCCUGGAUUCUUCCUUAAUGAUCAGCUAAUUUCUUACCAUUAAACUGUUAAUUAUUGUGGUUCAACGUCUAACUAAUGUAAAAAUGGAGGCAUAGUGUUCAAUUGCAGCAAAGUAGUAUACUCCCCUCA